AUGGCUCCGCGGGGGGCCGGCGGGGAGAACGCACAUUCCGACCUCCGGGAGAGGGUGAGGAGGUAAGGAGCCUCUGCUUGCAAGGGUCCAGAUCCCAGGUCAGCCAGUCGCGUCCCCUCCGGGACCUCCUCCAGCUCUCCAGCCCCCGUGACCCUCUCGUAGUCCAAUCACGCCCCGCUCCUCAUCCCCGGGGCUGAGCAAGGUUCCCCUCAGAUGGAGGUGGUUCCUUCGGCUGCUACACAGCUGCACCUGAGGCGUCCGCCAGGGCAGCAAUCCAGGCUCACGCAGGAGAAAACGGGAUCCAGAGAAUGAUUCCCAAAACUGCUUAUCUGUGGGUCAUAGAAAGACAAGAUGGAUUUUACUGCAAAAAGGUUGUUGCCUGGUUCAGUUCCAAGUCUGGAAUGCAUGAAGGAAAAAGAAACCAGGAGAAUUCACCACCAUGUUGAUCCUUGUAUCCCAAGGUCUCUGCUGUGUUUGCCCCAUACAAGAAAGGCAAUGAAAAUAUUUUGAGAGGUAAGAUAUAAAGGGAAAUGGUUUAUUAAUAAUUAAAACCACUUGGUAAACUACCCACGCAGACUGCCUCCUAUGGAUGUGAAUGACAUUCAGAUUUUCUUAAGUCCAAAUACUGUUGAUGCAGUAGUGUUCCAAAAGAUCCUCCCAUGGGUACUUACUGUUUUCAUCUUUAUACUGAAUCCAUCACUAUUCCCUGCACAUACUAU